rnacentral:rRNA from 1 species
AAUAGAUACCCCGGUAGUCCACGCAGUAAACGAUGCAGACUAGGCGUGGGGGGACUUGACCCCAUCCGUGCCGGAGCCAACGCGGUAAGUCUGCCGCCUGGGGAGUACGGCCGCAAGGCUAAAACUCAAAGGAAUUGACGGGGCCCCGCACAAGCGGCGGAGCAUGCGGAUUAAUUCGAUGCAACGCGUAGAACCUUACCUGGGUUUGACAUGGAUCGGGAGUGCUCAGAGAUGGGUGUGCCUCUUUUGGGGUCGGUUCACAGGUGGUGCAUGGCUGUCGUCAGCUCGUGUCGUGAGAUGUUGGGUUAAGUCCCGCAACGAGCGCAACCCUUGUUCACUGUUGCCAGCACGUUAUGGUGGGGACUCAGUGGAGACCGCCGGGGUCAACUCGGAGGAAGGUGGGGAUGGACGUCAAGUCAUCAUGCCCCUUAUGUCCAGGGCUUCACGCAUGCUACAAUGGCUGGGUACAGAGAGUGGCGAGCCUGUGAGGGUGAGCGAAUCUCGGAAAAGCCGGUCUCAGUUCGGAGUU